rnacentral:rRNA from 1 species
UACGAAGGGGGCUAGCGUUGCUCGGAAUCACUGGGCGUAAAGCGCACGUAGGCGGAUUGUUAAGUCGGGGGUGAAAUCCUGGAGCUCAACUCCAGAACUGCCUUCGAUACUGGCGAUCUUGAGUCCGGGAGAGGUGAGUGGAACUCCGAGUGUAGAGGUGAAAUUCGUAGAUAUUCGGAAGAACACCAGUGGCGAAGGCGGCUCACUGGCCCGAUACUGACGCUGAUGCACGAAAGCGUGGGGAGCAAACAGG